UACGUAGGUGGCAAGCGUUAUCCGGAUUUAUUGGGCGUAAAGGGAACGCAGGCGGUCUUUUAAGUCUGAUGUGAAAGCCUUCGGCUUAACCGGAGUAGUGCAUUGGAAACUGGGAGACUUGAGUGCAGAAGAGGAGAGUGGAACUCCAUGUGUAGCGGUGAAAUGCGUAGAUAUAUGGAAGAACACCAGUGGCGAAAGCGGCUCUCUGGUCUGUGACUGACGCUGAGGUUCGAAAGCGUGGGUAGCAAACAGG
rnacentral:rRNA from 1 species